rnacentral:rRNA from 1 species
GACGAACGCUAGCGGCGUGCUUAACACAUGCAAGUCGAACGAGAAGGCCCUGCUUUUGUGGGGUGCACGAGUGGCGAACGGGUGAGUAACACGUGAGUAACCUGCCCUUGACUUUGGGAUAACUUCAGGAAACUGGGGCUAAUACCGGAUAGACACUCCUGCGGCAUAUUGGGGGUUGGAAAGUUUCGGCGGUUGGGGAGGGACUCGCGGCUUAUAAGCUUGUUGGUGGGGUAGUGGCUUACAAAGGCUUUGACGGGUAGCCGGCCUGAGAGGGGAACCGGCCACAUGAGGACUGAGCUACGGCCGAGACUCGUACGGGAGGCAGCAGUGGGGAAUAUAGCACGAUGGGGCGAAGCCGGAUGCAGCAACGCCGCGUGCGGGAUGAUGGCCUUCGGGUAGUAAACCGCUUUCGCCUGUGACGAAGCGUGAGUGACGGUAAUGGGUAAAGAAGCACCGGCUAACUACGUG